rnacentral:rRNA from 1 species
UACGGAGGGUGCUAGCGUUGUUCGGAUAUACUGGGCGUAAAGCGCACGUAGGCGGCGCCGUAAGUCAGGGGUGAAAUCCCUGGGCUCAACCCAGGAACUGCACUCGAAACUACUUGCCUUGAGUGCCGGAGAGGAAAGCGGAAUUCCUGGUGUAGAGGUGAAAUUCGUAGAUAUCAGGAGGAACACCAGUGGCGAAGGCGGCUUUCUGGACGGUAACUGACGCUGAGACGCGAAAGCGUGGGGAGCAAACAGG